AGCGAACGCUGGCGGCAGGCUUAACACAUGCAAGUCGAGCGGGCAUCCUUGUGGUGUCAGCGGCAGACGGGUGAGUAACGCGUGGGAACGUGCCCUUCGGUUCGGAAUAACUCAGGGAAACUUGAGCUAAUACCGGAUACGUGCGAGAGCAGAAAGGUUUAUCUGCCGAAGGAUCGGCCCGCGUCUGAUUAGCUAGUUAGUGAGGUUACGGCUCACCAAGGCGACGAUCAGUAGCUGGUCUGAGAGGAUGAUCAGCCACACUGGGACUGAGACACGGCCCAGACUCCUACGGGAGGCAGCAGUGGGGAAUAUUGGACAAUGGGGGCAACCCUGAUCCAGCCAUGCCGCGUGAGUGAUGACGGCCUUAGGGUUGUAAAGCUCUUUUCUCCGGGACGAUAAUGACGGUACCGGAGGAAUAAGCCCCGGCUAACUUCGUG
rnacentral:rRNA from 1 species